AGUGAACGCUGGCGGUAGGCCUAACACAUGCAAGUCGAACGGCAGCACAGUAAGAGUUUGCUCUUACGGGUGGCGAGUGGCGGACGGGUGAGGAAUACAUCUGAAUCUACUUUUUCGUGGGGGAUAACGUAGGGAAACUUACGCUAAUACCGCAUACGACCUACGGGUGAAAGCAGGGGAUCUUCGGACCUUGCGCGAUUGAAUGAGCCGAUGUCGGAUUAGCUAGUUGGCGGGGUAAAGGCCCACCAAGGCGACGAUCCGUAGCUGGUCUGAGAGGAUGAUCAGCCACACUGGAACUGAGACACGGUCCAGACUCCUACGGGAGGCAGCAGUGGGGAAUAUUGGACAAUGGGCGCAAGCCUGAUCCAGCCAUACCGCGUGGGUGAAGAAGGCCUUCGGGUUGUAAAGCCCUUUUGUUGGGAAAGAAAAGCAGCAGGUUAAUACCCCGCUGUUCUGACGGUACCCAAAGAAUAAGCACCGGCUAACUUCGUG
rnacentral:rRNA from 1 species